rnacentral:tRNA from 1 species
AGGAGUGUAGCCCAGUGGUAGGGCACUCGCAUAACACGUGUGAGGCCCUGGGUUCAAUCCCCAGCACCCCCC